rnacentral:rRNA from 1 species
ACUCCUGCGGGAGGCAGCAGUGGGGAAUUUUGGACAAUGGGCGAAAGCCUGAUCCAGCAAUGCCGCGUGAGUGAAGAAGGCCUUCGGGUUGUAAAGCUCUUUUGUCAGGGAAGAAACGGUGAAAGCUAAUAUCUUUUGCUAAUGACGGUACCUGAAGAAUAAGCACCGGCUAACUACGUGCCAGCAGCCGCGGUAAUACGUAGGGUGCAAGCGUUAAUCGGAAUUACUGGGCGUAAAGCGUGCGCAGGCGGUUUUGUAAGUCUGAUGUGAAAUCCCCGGGCUCAACCUGGGAAUUGCAUUGGAGACUGCAAGGCUAGAAUCUGGCAGAGGGGGGUAGAAUUCCACGUGUAGCAGUGAAAUGCGUAGAUAUGUGGAGGAACACCGAUGGCGAAGGCAGCCCCCUGGGUCAAGAUUGACGCUCAUGCACGAAAGCGUGGGGAGCAAACAGGAUUAGAAACCCGGGUAGUCCCAUGAU